CACGUAGGGUGCGAGCGUUGUCCGGAAUUAUUGGGCGUAAAGGGCUCGUAGGCGGUUUGUCACGUCGGGAGUGAAAACUCGGGGCUUAACCCCGAGCCUGCUUCCGAUACGGGCAGACUAGAGGUAUGCAGGGGAGAACGGAAUUCCUGGUGUAGCGGUGAAAUGCGCAGAUAUCAGGAGGAACACCGGUGGCGAAGGCGGUUCUCUGGGCAUUACCUGACGCUGAGGAGCGAAAGUGUGGGGAGCGAACAGG
rnacentral:rRNA from 1 species